rnacentral:rRNA from 1 species
UACGUAGGGUGCGAGCGUUGUCCGGAAUUAUUGGGCGUAAAGAGCUCGUAGGCGGUGUGUCACGUCGGCCGUGAAAACCUGCAGCUUAACUGUGGGCGUGCGGUCGAUACGGGCAUCACUGGAGUUCGGCAGGGGAGACUGGAAUUCCUGGUGUAGCGGUGAAAUGCGCAGAUAUCAGGAGGAACACCGGUGGCGAAGGCGGCGACCUGGGUAGAUACUGACGCUGAGGUGCGAAAGCGUGGGGAGCAAACAGG